UUUAUUUCAGUAUCAUUGAAUACUCUUUCUCACACUGCUGGUGGACACAGUCAGAUUAGAAUUGUGGCUCUGAUUAGGGCUCUUCUGGAGGACUUCUUAGCCUGUGAACUUUCAAAGAGUAUGAUUAGUGAGGGUUGCACAAUUACCAAAUAUCCAUACAAGAUGUCAUCUAGUUACAGAGCCCGUAUUCUGAGGCAAUACCAAAAUGGCAGAGGAGGUCAUGAGGAAGUCACACUACUACUUUAAAAGCUUUUCAUGCCUGUAUGGAACAUGGCUGGGUAAGAUGGUGGCAAGAGCGAACAGCAGAAGAUGGGAGGACAGAACCUCUACAGAUGGACAAACCGACAGGGACGAAGUAGGGACUAUAUCAUGGAUCUGCUGCCAGCUUUUGGAAUGAAGUUUGUGCCAAACUCUUCGUUGUUGUGGUUUUCACAUGAUGGAUGUAUCAGAGCUGGCUUUGCUGGACUUCUGCUGUCCCUUUCAGGACUGCAGAAAGGGAAGCCCAGCUCUCCUCCAGCUGAACUCUGUCGUGUCUGCUACAGCUGAAACUGUACUAAAAGAAGGACAUGUCCAACUCCCUCUGCUGGGAGGAGGCUGAUGAGUGACAGUGUCAUGAAAUGGUUGCUGGCAGACCUCUUUGCUUGUGAAUGCUGUGGCUCUGGACAGAUGGAUAUCACAUCUUGACUGCUUCUGAGAUGUCCCAAAGUCUUCAGGUACUACAGCACUUCUGCUGAUUCUGAGGGAGUUGGGUGACUCAAAGAGUGAUGAAUUGGGCUGAUGGUGGAGGUUGUUAUAAGCAACCUGAUGAUCCUUUCCUGUACCCUGGAACAUGUAUGAUUGUUAUUGGGGUGCUGCAGUUUCAUGCAGCCCACAUUGAAUAUUACUGGAAACAAGGUGCAGUGUGUCUGGCACUCAGUUUCUCAGACAUCCAGCUGCCUCA